rnacentral:rRNA from 1 species
ACAUGCCUACAACAUAGUGUAAUGCACCGGAUUCCAUUAGAACUCCAUAGUUAAGUGCGCUCAGUCUAGAGUAGUAUUGGGAUGGGUGACUGCUCGAGAAGUACUAGUAUUUUACAUGCC